rnacentral:rRNA from 1 species
UACGUAGGGUGCAAGCGUUGUCCGGAAUUAUUGGGCGUAAAGGGCUCGUAGGCGGUCCAUCGCGUCGGGAGUGAAAAGCUGGGGCUUAACCCCAGUCCUGCUUCCGAUACGGGUGGACUAGAGGUAGGUAGGGGAGAACGGAAUUCCUGGUGUAGCGGUGAAAUGCGCAGAUAUCAGGAGGAACACCGGUGGCGAAGGCGGUUCUCUGGGCCUUACCUGACGCUGAGACGCGAAAGCGUGGGGAGCGAACAGG